UACGGAGGGUGCAAGCGUUAAUCGGAAUUACUGGGCGUAAAGCGCGCGUAGGCGGUGCGGUAAGUCAGGGGUUAAAGGCUGCAGCUCAACUGCAGUAAGGCCUUUGAUACUAUCGCGCUAGAGUACCAGAGAGGAUGGCGGAAUUCCCGGUGUAGCGGUGAAAUGCGUAGAUAUCGGGAGGAACGCCGGUGGGGAAGCCGGUCUCCUGGGCCGCGCCCGACGCUGAGACCCGAAAGCUAGGGGAGCAAACAGG
rnacentral:rRNA from 1 species